rnacentral:tmRNA from 2 species
GGGGAUGUAUAGUCUCGACAGGAUUGCUCUUUAAAAACUGCAAGCUGUUAAGGAAACAUUAAACGUUAAAUAUUGUUUCAAAACACAAACGCCAAUAAAUUUGGUCGUUCCGUUCUCGCUUUAGCGCGAGAAGCGUUUUCUCCAGCACAACCUGCUGUAGUUUACGCUUAAAGGUAUCUUGGAUAAUCUUUUCCAGGCUAGAUUACCGAGGUAUGUACCCAGUCUGGAUGCAGUUGCGAUAUCUAAUCCAUAAUCGGAAUCAAGAAACUUGGAUUAAGUAUUAACCUUCCUGUUUAUGGGUUAAUGUUAAUACUCAAAAAUACAUAAACUAAGCUUGUAGAAGUUUUUUUAGAUCCAAUUUUGGACGGGGGUGCAAAACCCCCCAUCUCCACCA